AUUGAACGCUGGCGGCAUGCCUUACACAUGCAAGUCGAACGGCAGCACGGGAGCAAUCCUGGUGGCGAGUGGCGAACGGGUGAGUAAUGUAUCGGAACGUGCCCAGUCGUGGGGGAUAACGUAGCGAAAGCUACGCUAAUACCGCAUACGACAUAUGGAUGAAAGCGGGGGAUAGCAAGACCUCGCGCGAUUGGAGCGGCCGAUAUCAGAUUAGGUAGUUGGUGGGGUAAAGGCUCACCAAGCCGACGAUCUGUAGCUGGUCUGAGAGGACGACCAGCCACACUGGGACUGAGACACGGCCCAGACUCCUACGGGAGGCAGCAGUGGGGAAUUUUGGACAAUGGGCGCAAGCCUGAUCCAGCAAUGCCGCGUGCAGGAUGAAGGCCUUCGGGUUGUAAACUGCUUUUGUACGGAACGAAACGGCGAGCUCUAAUACAGUUUGCUAAUGACGGUACCGUAAGAAUAAGCACCGGCUAACUACGUGCCAGCCGCCGCGGUAA
rnacentral:rRNA from 1 species